GCAGAAUUCAGUGAAUCAUCGAAUCUUUGAACGCACCUUGCGCUCCUUGGUAUUCCGAGGAGCAUGCCUGUUUGAGUGUCAUGUUA
rnacentral:rRNA from 1 species